UUGAGGGGGUGCAAAGAUUUAAAUUAGCAUAAUUUAGAAAAAGCAUAAAUUGGAAAAAUUAAAACACAAAUUCCAACAAUAUUUGUACCGUUUUUAUUUGUAAAAAUAACCAUCUGAAUGCAUUUCCAUAGUAUAUUACAGUUAAGUACUUCAUUACGUUAUUAGAGCAUUCAGUAGUUGCAAAAGUAUUAAACUGUGCUUGAGAAGAUUCAGAUUGUUUCAAAGUCAUUCACUGAACUAAAAGUCAUUUUCCCCAUUUUUACAGUCAUGACAUUUACCAGAGUCAUUCAACUCCAAUUUACAUAAGAAAACAUUAUAGACAAAAUCCCACUGAAAUCAUCAAACAAUAUUUUAUGCUGUUACAAAUAUGUUAUGCAAAAUAUAACACUGGCACCAGAUUUGUAUCAUCGUGCUUUACAAAGAUAUAUUGCACAUGCUAGAGCAUAAAAUAUGUAGACAAAACUACCAAAUAAAAGAUAUUUGCAUUGAAUUUUUAGAUCACAUAAGAAACGCAUAGAAUUACAUUUUAUACAAACACUCAGAUUGUCACUAUCUUAAAAUGCUUUUCCCCUAUAAUACUGACCUAUGGUUUAUAGUUUCGUAAGACGAAAGCAUUUUAGCACUGCAAAAUCAAACAAUUCCUAUAGAAAACUUAAGCAUUUUCAUAUUCAUUUCAAUGCAAGUACAAGGGGAAAUAGGAAAAAAGACACUUUAUACAUUCAAAGAAAAGUUGAAAUGAAAACUCACUGGUAUCAUAUUGCUCUGAUAACACUCAAAUGAAAAAAUACAAAACAUUCCACAGAACAUUUUCAGAAUAUACAAAUAUAAAAAGGCACUCUAACUUCAUAUUACAAGACAAUAAAACGGAUGAGUUCUUCAACCAACACAACAUAUAAGCACACCAAGUUGCUCAACAGUACAAAGAAUAACUAGUGCAGCAAAUCCAUUUGAUGUUCUUGUUCUAAUUUAAUAACAAAAUGAUAAACCAAGCAGUGUUUACUGCCUAAAGUACCAAAACAUACUAUGGUGCCCUUUUAGUAGUGAUAAAUAGAAAUACCCUGAGCUAUUUACUGUAGAAUCAUAGCAGAUUUUAGGCAAUUUGGAGAUAGUAAUGUAUUUAGCAAAGACAGGCAGACACUGGCAAAUAAGUAAGUGCAAUGAAACAUGAUCCUUGUAGUUGUGGUUAAAAUACAGUCUAAAAAUAACACAAAUAAAAGCACUAAGCAACUAAGACUCAGUUAAAAACACAUUUUUUUUUCUUAGAAAGCUAUGGUGCAAACAUAAUUUUAUUUCUAAGAGAUGUAAUUAAAAUACAGAAAUGAUAGUUUUUAAAGUCAUUUCUUUAAAAAAAUUUUGCCUUGGGGUAUGGGAGAAAGAGAAAGAGAGGAAGAGAGAGAGAGAGAGAUCAGUUGAUGUAAUGAACAGUUCAUUGUGAGCAUGAUUUCAUUUCGUUCCUUUGUCCUCCUUCUAUGAGUAAGAGAGUGGGAAAAGUCAAAACGCAGCUCCAUGGAGAUAACGUCUCAUGCGGUUCCAGGUGUGGAACGGGGUCCAUUUGACCUAGAAGCUUUGGCAGAGGGAGCAGACACAGUAUUCACUAUGUUGAUUUCAUCAUCAAGCAACUGGCAAUCGGUUUUACAUGCUAAAUCACCCAUUUCUACUUUCUGCUUUCACUUUUUUUGUUCCUUUUUGCAGUCACACUUUUCACUGACUUGGUAUGACCUUGACUGAGAAGCUCAUUUUACUACUGAUGAACAAUGCUGAUGAUUCUGAUGUUUUUUAAAAGUUAGUAUUUUGAUUUAAGAAUAAAUUAACAAAGGGUAGUUUCAUACUAUUUUUGCAUAUUGUGUCAAAGUUUUGGUGCAAUAUAAUUUUCACCUGAAAUGUUAUUAGAUAAAUUUGGGUUCAAUCACUUAAGUGAAAAUUAGUCACAGGCUUGUUAUAGGGAACACUGUGUUAAACAAAAAAAGCAAGUUCAAUUUUUCAAUUCAUCUGGCAACUUUAACAGAGAUCCUCAGAAAGAAGUUCUGGAUAUUCAAAUGCUUACUAUAGAGAGGAUAUAAAUAGUUGGACUCUCUAAAAAGAUUAUUACAGGCAUUAUUUCUGAAGAUGGACACCUUUACCUUUGGCUUCUAGUGAGGAAGUAAACAUCAAAGUGAGAAGAAGUUUGAGGCAUUUCCUAUCUGCCUCUUCCCUUCCCUCCCAGGGGACAUGAAUGUCACACUGAUAUACUUCUGAGAACUCACUGCUAAAUACAUGAAAAGAAAAAUUAUUCAUAGCGAACAGCUGCCUCUCUGCUGCAUUAUCCCCAAAGAACAGGAAUUAAAUACAUCUUUUAUUCUUUAUUUAAAAUGAGAGGUAGACUUUCACAGAAGUAUCUUAGAUUUAAAGAAAAUGUGAAACAAAACAAAACUGGGGCCAUCUGUGUGACUGUUCCACCCAACAGCCUCACUGCCCUCCCUCGAUUAAUUCCUUCUCUACUAGCUUCUGGAAGCCCAGGCCCCAAAUAAUACUUGAAUACAACAUAAACCUGGAAUUCAAGCUUCUUUCCUUUCCUCCAACACAGGUGAUCAAAGAAAAGCUUCUACAGUCCAAAGUCAAAACGUUUCCGAAUCAGAAUCAUUUUCAUUGUACCCAUCCUCCGAGCCUACGUUGUUACUGCACAGGCUAACCAUGCUACCCAGAUUGGAGAGGGUCGUCCUGCUCAAAUUGUCUUUUUUUAAACAAACGAAGUUGACAGCCAUCAUUGUACUGGAAGGAGAAAAAGGCAUCAUGGUAGCCAAAAUGAGGGCCAGGCAGUCAGCCACGUCUUUGUUAGGAGCGCAAGCCAGGGCCGGGGUAUGACCUGGGCGUAAAUGCAGACAAGGCAGUGGUUAGUCCUGGGGAGCCUAGAGGAGGCACGAGCAUUCCACAGUACAUCUCGGAUGAUCUCACAGGCGGAGAUGUAUGUUGAGUUAGAAAUCAUGCCAGGUAAAACGAGGAGUUACUUCUCACAAGUCAUGCUAGGGGUGAGGCUAGAGGGGGAGGGAGGGGGAGACAUUUUAUGGAGGGCUUUUUAUUUUUGUUUUCAGCUCAUAUGACUAUGACAAGCACAAUAUCAUCCAAAGUUAGGCAGGAUUCCAGCCUUCAUUUAGUGAACACAAACACAAGGGGGUGGGUGUGGGACACAAUUCCACAAUAAACAGCAACAGGACAAUCAGGAGGAUGUUUCCGCCUGAGAGCACACACACACCAUGAGCCUCAGGCCUGGGCCUGAGAAGGACUCUCAUUCUGAGAACAAUGACUUUCCAUUGUUAGGUAAUUGUGUGUCCAAUUAGAAAAGAUAUUGAAAAUUAGAUGACUGCAAAAGUGAGUAAUGAAGUUUUGUCACUUUAUAUAUGCUUCAUAGAAAAUAGACACCAAUAACUGGUUUUAGAAAAAUGGAAUCAUUUCAGUAGAUCAGAGACAGGAAAGCACAGGUUGUUUGUGAUUAAAAAUGUACAAUCAUUUAGGAGAAAUUUAACAAAUUUUUUUUUUGACAGAGUUUCACUCUGUCACCCAGGCUGGAUUGUAGUGGCAUGGGGCCUUGAUUUUACUACAGCCUUGUCUUCCGGGCUCAAGCAAUCCUCCCACCUCAGCCUCCCGAGUAGCUGGGACUAUAGGUGUGUGCCACUACUACCGGCUGAUUUUUUCUUUUUUUGGUUUUUUUUUUUUGAGUCAAGGUCUUGCUAUGUUUCCCAGGCUGUUCUCAAACUCCUGGGCUCAAGCGAUCCUCCCACCUUGGCUUCCCAAAGUCCUGGGAUUAAAGGCGUGAGCCAUCACACCUGGCCUAACAGAAUAUUUAAAAAUGGCCACUCACCAAUCAAAGUCUCAAAUCUAAAAUGUAAUGGAUGUGAGAAAAUUACUAUGCUUGUCAUAAUUAGAACCAUGUUAUUCUCAUUUAGACUCAAUGGAUCCAAUCCAGAUAAGAAAACUGUCUUAACUCAUAAUAUAGGUUCCUUGGGGAGGUAGAUUAAGUCUUUGACUUGAUUAUUUCCUUAUCCAACCUUUAUCCUACUGGCCUGAAAAGGGUUAGCUGCCUUCUCAGCUGGCCAAAGUUUCCACUACACAGUGAGUAGGGCACUUGCUCAGUAAUUCAGAGGAAUGGCUCAAUGAAACUUAACGUUUUGUUGUUUUGUUUAUCAUCACUCGACCUGCUCUCCCCACCCUGCCCUUUAGGACAUCAUUCCUUUUUCUGGUAUGAAAACAAAUAAGAAUGAACAGGUAGUUUAACAUUCCAUUUCACGAAAGUCAGUGAUGAGUAAAGGAAUUAUGGUUGUACUGCUAUAUAAAAUUGCCCCAAACGUUCCCAGGCCUUUGGGAUGCAGGUGCGCACCAACCCAGGGCUCUUGUUCCUAAGGUCACUAUCAGCUGAACAAACCUUCAAUGCAGCAGAUUUACACCAGGAAAAGCAAAACUAAUUUAUUCUAUUCUCUUUGACCAUUUUGGAGAAAAACUGUGGGCCUCUGCAGGCCAACCCUAAGUCUACAGUAGUGUUAAGAGGGUGAGGGAAGGUGAGGCGGGAAAACCAAGGAAAUGGAGUAAUAGGGAACUUUCUGCACUUCCUAGAUGAGUCAGGUGGGGGACACAGCAGGGUACAUGCUAGGAUACAUGGGGCUGCAAAAUCAAAACUAAUAAGAGUUAGCUAAUGAUAAUCAGUAUGGCUGCUUACUUCUGAGAAAUAGGCAUGAGCUGCUAAUUCCAAUACCUGUAAUAAGCAGUUAAUUGAGUUACAUUAAUACAUUAUAAUACUUUAAUUAAAUGCCACAUUUUAAAAAUUACAUAAUUCAUAAACAUCCAGAAGUUCCUUUUUUGCUCCCCAAGGUUAAUAGGCAUUGUGCUUAAAAUGGCAGUUUAGUACAAUUCUAGUAGCCAUUCCUUUCAAAAUUUCUUAGGAAGCAGAGUAGAAAGCUUCUGUUAAGAAUUAGUUCAUUAGGAAAGGAACAUUAAUACAGAUCAGGGGAAGCUUCAAGCCUAGACGUUAAUUAAGAAAUUUUACUCUUGUUCCUCACAUUUCCAUACUGGGAAUAUGAGUUCUGAUCUGUACUUAAAGAAAAAAAAAGUUUGAUCUCAGAAUGAACUUAAAUACAAUCAAAGAUCCAGGUUUUUAUUUGAGCCCUUGAGCAUGCAUUAAUGACAUGUGUAGUCCCUAACUCUUCAGCAUUUGCAGUUAAAAUUUUGAGUGUCAACUUGAAACUCUUAGUGUGUCUAAGAUAUUUUAACCACUGUGCUGAGGAGUUAGAGACCAGCUGCUGGCAUUACAUGCAAAAUGGACAGCACUGGGUGGCCUACAGGUAGACUAUGUGAUUUACAAAAAGACAGACAGGACAAGUUAUCCUUGCUUGAUUUCUCACACACAGGACUUCCAAGGGGGACAGAAUUCUUAAGUGCCUUUUAUACUAGCUCCUAUCUUUCUCAUUUCCUCUGGCUUCAACUAGCUUAUGGAAGGUACCUGCAGUCGCUGUUGACUUUUUCCACUUACCAUUUUCAUCUACAGCAAGUACACAGGCCCCUUUGGCCAGCAACUCCUCAACUACCACCUUUAAGCCAUUGCGCGCAGCGACGUGGAGGGGUCUAAAAAACACAAGACCGAGCAUCAGUUGUGAUACAUAUUUGGGUGAGAAUGUGGAAUUUUUGUUAGCCCAUGUCACUAAAAGGAAGAAGUACUUAGACUCUACAAAUAGUACAUGGAUGUUUUUACUUAAGAAAAAAAAAUGCUGACCAGAUCUUUUCCAGGUGCUAAUGGUCCAACUGUUGUUGUAUGUUUGGCCCAGAUCUUGCUGCAGAUAUUACAAAUAUUCUGCAUCUCAAACAAUCUCAAUGACAGUAAAUACGAAGACAGAGGAAGAACUCAAGCUUUGUUGUGUUUUGCAGAAGGCCCUUUACUGCUUGAUUUCUA
rnacentral:lncRNA from 10 species